rnacentral:misc_RNA from 1 species
GAUGAAGAACGCAGCGAAAUGCGAUAAGUAAUGCGAAUUGCAGAAUUCAGUGAGUCAUCGAAUCUUUGAACGCACAUUGCGCCCCUUGGCAUUCCGAGGGGCACACCUGUUCGAGCGUCAUUUCACCAGUCAAGCUCCGCUUGGUGUUGGGGCCUGCUGCACUGGCAGCCCUUAAAAUCAGUGGCGGCGCCAUCUGGCUCUAAGCGUAGUAAUUCUUCUCGCUAUGGAGUCCUGGUGGAUGCUUGCCAUCAACCCCCAAUUUUUCUAUGGUUGACCUCGGAUCAGGUAGGGAUACCCGCUGAACUUAAGCAUAUCAAUAAGCGGAGGA